rnacentral:rRNA from 1 species
UACGUAGGGGGCUAGCGUUGUCCGGAAUCAUUGGGCGUAAAGCGCGUGUAGGCGGCCCGGUAAGUCCGCUGUGAAAGUCCAGGCUCAACCUGGGAUGCCGGUGGACACUGUCGGGCUCGAGUCCGGAAGAGGCGAGUGGAAUUCCUGGUGUAGCGGUGAAAUGCGCAGAUAUCAGGAGGAACACCAAUGGCGAAGGCAGCUCGCUGGGACGUGACUGACGCUGAGACGCGAAAGCGUGGGGAGCAAACAGG